rnacentral:rRNA from 1 species
UACGAAGGGGGCUAGCGUUGUUCGGAUUUACUGGGCGUAAAGCGCACGUAGGCGGAUCUUUUAAGUCAGAGGUGAAAUCCCGGAGCUCAACUUCGGAACUGCCUUUGAUACUGGGGAUCUCGAGUUCGGGAGAGGUGAGUGGAACUGCGAGUGUAGAGGUGAAAUUCGUAGAUAUUCGCAAGAACACCAGUGGCGAAGGCGGCUCACUGGCCCGAUACUGACGCUGAGGAGCGAAAGCGUGGGGAGCGAACAGG